rnacentral:rRNA from 1 species
UACGUAGGGGGCAAGCGUUGUCCGGAAUCAUUGGGCGUAAAGAGCGUGUAGGCGGCCCGAUAAGUCCGCUGUGAAAGUCCAGGGCUCAACCCUGGAAUGCCGGUGGAUACUGUCGGGCUCGAAUCCGGAAGAGGUGAGUGGAAUUCCUGGUGUAGCGGUGAAAUGCAUUGAGAUCGGAAAGAACACCAACGGCGAAAGCACUCUGCUGGGCCGACACUGACACUGAGAGACGAAAGCUAGGGGAGCAAAUGGG